rnacentral:rRNA from 15 species
GCUUACGGCCAUACAACCCUGAACGCGCCCGAUCUCGUCCGAUCUCGGAAGCUAAGCAGGGUCGGGCCUGGUUAGUACUUGGAUGGGAGACCGCCUGGGAAUACCAGGUGCUGUAAGCC